GACGAACGCGGGCGGCGUGCCUAAUACAUGCAAGUAGAACGCACAGUUUAUACCGUAGCUUGCUACACCAUAGACUUGAGUUGCGAACGGGUGAGUAACGCGUAGGUAACCUCCUGGUAGCGGGGGAUAACUAUUGGAAACGAUAGCUAAUACCGCAUAAUAUUAAUUAUUGCAUGAUAAUUAAUUGAAAGGUGCAAUUGCACCACUACCAGAUGGACCUGCGUUGUAUUAGCUAGUAGGUGAGGUAACGGCUCACCUAGGCGACGAUACAUAGCCGACCUGAGAGGGUGAUCGGCCACACUGGGACUGAGACACGGCCCAGACUCCUACGGGAGGCAGCAGUAGGGAAUCUUCGGCAAUGGACGAAAGUCUGACCGAGCAACGCCGCGUGAGUGAAGAAGGUUUUCGGAUCGUAAAGCUCUGUUGUAAGAGAAGAACGGGUGUGAGAGUGGAAAG
rnacentral:rRNA from 1 species